CAGUCGCCGCGGUAAUACGGAGGGAGCUAGCGUUGUUCGGAAUUACUGGGCGUAAAGCGCACGUAGGCGGCUUUGUAAGUCAGAGGUGAAAGCCUGGAGCUCAACUCCAGAACUGCCUUUGAGACUGCAUCGCUUGAAUCCAGGAGAGGUGAGUGGAAUUCCGAGUGUAGAGGUGAAAUUCGUAGAUAUUCGGAAGAACACCAGUGGCGAAGGCGGCUCACUGGACUGGUAUUGACGCUGAGGUGCGAAAGCGUGGGGAGCAAACAGGAUUAGAUACCCCAGUAGUCCCUGUCUCUUAUAC
rnacentral:rRNA from 1 species